rnacentral:rRNA from 1 species
CAGUAGCCGCGGUAAUACAGAGGGUGCAAGCGUUAAUCGGAAUUACUGGGCGUAAAGCGCGCGUAGGUGGUUCGUUAAGUUGGAUGUGAAAUCCCCGGGCUCAACCUGGGAACUGCAUCCAAAACUGGCGAGCUAGAGUAGGGCAGAGGGUGGUGGAAUUUCCUGUGUAGCGGUGAAAUGCGUAGAUAUAGGAAGGAACACCAGUGGCGAAGGCGACCACCUGGGCUCAUACUGACACUGAGGUGCGAAAGCGUGGGGAGCAAACAGGAUUAGAUACCCCUGUAGUCCCUGUCUCUUAUAC